GACGAACGCUGGCGGCGUGCUUAACACAUGCAAGUCGAACGGAAAGGCCUGCUUUCCCUUGUGGAUUGCGGGUACUCGAGUGGCGAACGGGUGAGUAACACGUGAGUGAUCUGCCCCCAACUUGGGUAUAAGCCUGGGAAACUGGGUCUAAUUCCCGAUAGGACUGCAGGGUGGUGCCUGUGGUGGAAAACGAUUUUCUAGUGGUUGGGGAUGAGCUCGCGGCCUAUCAGCUUGUUGGUGGGGUAAUGACCUACCAAGGCGGCGACGGGUAGCCGGCCUGAGAGGGUGGACGGCCACAUUGGGACUGAGAUACGGCCCAGACUCCUACGGGAGGCAGCAGUGGGGAAUAUUGCACAAUGGGCGGAAGCCUGAUGCAGCGACGCCGCGUGGGGGAUGACGGCCUUCGGGUGGUAAACUCCUUUCGACCGCGAGGAAGCCACCUGGUUGGAAGGGUGGUGACGGUAGUGGUAGAAGAAGCACCGGCUAACUACGUG
rnacentral:rRNA from 1 species